AUUGGACGCUGGCGGCAGGCUUAACACAUGCAAGUCGAGCGGGGGAAGGUAGCUUGCUACCGGACCUAGCGGCGGACGGGUGAGUAAUGCUUAGGAAUCUGCCUAUUAGUGGGGGACAACAUCUCGAAAGGGAUGCUAAUACCGCAUACGUCCUACGGGAGAAAGCAGGGGAUCUUCGGACCUUGCGCUAAUAGAUGAGUCUAAGUCGGAUUAGCUAGUUGGUGGGGUAAAGGUCUACCAAGGCGACGAUCUGUAGCGGGUCUGAGAGGAUGAUCCGCCACACUGGGACUGAGACACGGCCCAGACUCCUACGGGAGGCAGCAGUGGGGAAUAUUGGACAAUGGGGGGGACCCUGAUCCAGCCAUGCCGCGUGUGUGAAGAAGGCCUUAUGGUUGUAAAGCACUUUAAGCGAGGAGGAGGCUACUUUAGUUAAUACCUAGAGAUAGUGGACGUUACUCGCAGAAUAAGCACCGGCUAACUCUGUGCCAGCCGCCGCGGUAA
rnacentral:rRNA from 1 species